GUCGAGGGGUAGAGGAAGCUUGCUUCCUUGAGACCGGCGCACGGGUGCGUAACGCGUAUGCAAUCUACCUUGUACAGGGGGAUAGCCCAGAGAAAUUUGGAUUAAUACCCCAUAGUAUUAUUGAGUGGCAUCACUUAAUUAUUAAAGUUCCAACGGUACAAGAUGAGCAUGCGUCCUAUUAGCUAGUUGGUGUGGUAACGGCAUACCAAGGCUACGAUAGGUAGGGGUCCUGAGAGGGAGAUCCCCCACACUGGUACUGAGACACGGACCAGACUCCUACGGGAGGCAGCAGUGAGGAAUAUUGGACAAUGGGCGCAAGCCUGAUCCAGCCAUGCCGCGUGCAGGAAGAAGCAUCUAUGGUGUGUAAACUGCUUUUGUACGGGAAGAAACACUGCUACGUGUAGCAGCUUGACGGUACCGUAAGAAUAAGGAUCGGCUAACUCCGUGCCAGCAGCCGCGGUAAUACGGAGGAUCCAAGCGUUAUCCGGAAUCAUUGGGUUUAAAGGGUCCGUAGGCGGUCUGAUAAGUCAGUGGUGAAAGCCCAUCGCUUAACGAUGGAACGGCCAUUGAUACUGUCAGACUUGAAUUACUGGGAAGUAACUAGAAUAUGUAGUGUAGCGGUGAAAUGCUUAGAUAUUACAUGGAAUACCAAUUGCGAAGGCAGGUUACUACCCAGUUGAUUGACGCUGAUGGACGAAAGCGUGGGGAGCGAACA
rnacentral:rRNA from 1 species